rnacentral:rRNA from 1 species
AUGUGCGGACGGGCGCUCGGCGGGCACAUGAGGGCGCACGGGAUCGCGGACGACGCGCUAGCCGCCGAGGAAGCCUUCGAUGAUGAUGGCGGCGGUGUCGGCGAAUCGUCCGAGGCGGGGAGCCCGUCGCCGACGACGGCCAAACGCAUGUACGGGCUCCGCGCCAACCCUGGACGGCUACGGAACUGCCGGGUGUGCGAGAACUGCGGGAAGGAGUUCACGUCGUGGAAGUCGUUGCUGGAUCACGGAAGGUGCAGCUUUGACGAGGACGAUGAUUUGGAUGGCUCGCUUCGUUCGUCGUCGCCACUGCAUAAUAACACCGACGAAGGCGUGGAUGAGGACGAGGAGGAGGAAGGGGACCUGGCGUUGGCCUCUGGGUGGUCCAAGGGGAAACGCUCACGCCGCGCCAAGGUGAUGAUCACCGGGAGCGGUGCCAUAUCGGAAGUGCAGCAGCCGGCCCCAUCGAGCGAGGAGGAGGACCUUGCCAAUUGCCUCGUCAUGCUCUCCUCGUCUCGUGUCACGCAACCAACCGUGCAUGUGGAUGCCGACCAGGAGUCGUCCGCAUCAGCGAGCAAGGACGAAGAAAGGAAUAGACUCCUUGUGCCACAACCGCUCUCGAUCAUCCCUCCCAUGACAGCGCAGUUCAAGUUUUCUGCGCCUCAGGUGGUAGUGGCGCAGCACGUUCCAACCGUCCCACGCGGCUUGUUUGAAUGCAAGGCGUGCAAGAAGGUGUUCACCUCACACCAGGCUCUCGGUGGGCACCGUGCCAGCCACAAGAAAGUUAAAGGGUGCUUCGCCGCCAAGCUUGAAAGCAGCCGCAAUGAGACUACCCACCAACAUGCUAUGGCAUCGGCUGCUCUACACGACAACACCAGGGCCAUCCCUGAGGCUGUAGGAGAUACCAGUACCACAGAAGGAAAGACGGGCAACCUCGAUGCCGGCAAGGCGACGAGUGUUGGCGCCGGCGAGGUCGUUGUGCCCACAGCAACGACGGAAAUGGCCAUUAUGCCGAUCGCUGAUGCAGCACCGGUAGCAGCCGCCUUUUCUCCGUUCAAGAAGAAGGGGAAGGUGCACGAAUGCUCCAUCUGCCACCGCGUGUUCACGUCGGGGCAAGCGCUCGGGGGCCACAAGCGGUGCCACUGGCUCACCUCCAGCGCGACGGACCCCGCCAAGCUCCAGCCCGUUGUUCCCGAUCACCUCAUGGCGGCCAUGUGCCACCACCUCACCCUCGGCCGCCCGAUGUUCGACACGGCGGACCAGCGAAUCCUUGACCUCAACGUGCCAACAAAUCCGUCGGCUGAGGCGAUCGCCACCAGACAGGCCGCCGAGCUCAACGACAUCCCGCUCUGCCUCAACGCGCCGGCGUCCAUGUAUGCGCAGUCAUGGACGGGGCACAGCAACGCCAGCCACGUGAACAAGACCGGGACGAGCAGCCGCAACGACGCGGCUGCCGCAGGCGGCGCGGCCACGGAGGACGAGGCUGACAGCACCAGUGCGAAGAAGGCCAAGGUCAGCGACCUCAAGGACAUGAAGGUGGCCGGAGAGUCGCUGUCGUGGCUGCAGGUUGGCAUCGGCAUUUCCUCGUCGGAGAAAAACGAGAAGAGUACUCAGGAGGGAGCCUAG